UACGUAGGGGGCUAGCGUUGUCCGGAAUCAUUGGGCGUAAAGCACGUGUAGGCGGCCCGGUAAGUCCGCUGUGAAAGUCCAGGGCUCAACCCUGGGAUGCCGGUGGAUACUGUCGGGCUCGAGUCCGGAAGAGGCGAGUGGAAUUCCUGGUGUAGCGGUGAAAUGCGCAGAUAUCAGGAGGAACACCAAUGGCGAAGGCAGCUCGCUGGGACGUGACUGACGCUGAGACGCGAAAGCGUGGGGAGCAAACAGG
rnacentral:rRNA from 1 species